UGGCAUGGCGGCAGCUUACCAUGCAGUCGAGCGGAACGAUGAUGAGCUUGCUAUCAGGCGUCGAGCGGCGGACGGGUGAGUAAUACUUAGGAAUCUACCUAGUAGUGGGGGAUAGCUCGGGGAAACUCGAAUUAAUACCGCAUACGACCUACGGGAGAAAGGGGGCAGUUUACUGCUCUCGCUAUUAGAUGAGCCUAAGUCGGAUUAGCUAGAUGGUGGGGUAAAGGCCUACCAUGGCGACGAUCUGUAGCUGGUCUGAGAGGAUGAUCAGCCACACCGGGACUGAGACACGGCCCGGACUCCUACGGGAGGCAGCAGUGGGGAAUAUUGGACAAUGGGGGGAACCCUGAUCCAGCCAUGCCGCGUGUGUGAAGAAGGCCUUUUGGUUGUAAAGCACUUUAAGCAGUGAAGAAGACUCUUCGGUUAAUACCCGGGGACGAUGACAUUAGCUGCAGAAUAAGCACCGGCUAACUCUGUGCCAGCAGCCGCGGUAAUACAGAGGGUGCAAGCGUUAAUCGGAAUUACUGGGCGUAAAGCGAGCGUAGGUGGCUUGAUAAGUCAGAUGUGAAAUCCCCGGGCUUAACCUGGGAACUGCAUCUGAAACUGUUAGGCUAGAGUAGGUGAGAGGGAAGUAGAAUUUCAGGUGUAGCGGUGAAAUGCGUAAAGAUCUGAAGGAAUACCGAUGGCGAAGGCAGCUUCCUGGCAUCAUACUGACACUGAGGCUCGAAAGCGUGGGUAGCAAACGGGAUUAAAUCCCCGGGUAGUCCCCCCCGUAAACGAUGUCUACAAAUCGUUGGGUCCCUUGAGGAAUUAUUGACCCCCCUAACGCAAUAAUUAAACCCCCGGGGGAAUACGGCCCCCAGGGUUAAAACUCCAAUGAAUUUACCGGGGGCCCCCACAAACCGGGGGAACGGGGGGUUUAUUUCAUGCCCCCGGAAAAACCUUACCGGGGUUUGGAAAACCAAAAUUUUUGAAAAAACCAAAAGGCCUUCGGAAAUUUG
rnacentral:rRNA from 1 species